CCUGGGAAACGGGUGGUAAUGCCGGAUGCUCCAGUCCAUCGCAUGGUGGUCUGGGAAAGAUUUCAUCGGUAUGGGAUGGGGUCGCGUCCUAUCAGGUAGUCGGCGGGGUAACGGCCCACCGAGCCUACGACGGGUAGCCGGCCUGAGAGGGCGACCGGCCACAUUGGGACUGAGAUACGGCCCAGACUCCUACGGGAGGCAGCAGUGGGGAAUAUUGCACAAUGGGCGCAAGCCUGAUGCAGCGACGCCGCGUGCGGGAUGACGGCCUUCGGGUUGUAAACCGCUUUUGAUCGGGAGCAAGCCUUCGGGUGAGUGUACCUUUCGAAUAAGCACCGGCUAACUACGUGCCAGCAGCCGCGGUAAUACGUAGGGUGCAAGCGUUAUCCGGAAUUAUUGGGCGUAAAGGGCUCGUAGGCGGUUCGUCGCGUCCGGUGUGAAAGUCCAUCGCUUAACGGUGGAUCCGCGCCGGGUACGGGCGGGCUUGAGUGCGGUAGGGGAGACUGGAAUUCCCGGUGUAACGGUGGAAUGUGUAGAUAUCGGGAAGAACACCAAUCACUAGUG
rnacentral:rRNA from 1 species